rnacentral:rRNA from 1 species
GACGAACGCUGGCGGCGCGCCUAACACAUGCAAGUCGAACGAGCGAGAGAGAGCUUGCUUUCUCGAGCGAGUGGCGAACGGGUGAGUAACGCGUGAGGAACCUGCCUCAAAGAGGGGGACAACAGUUGGAAACGACUGCUAAUACCGCAUAAGCCCACGGCUCGGCAUCGAGCAGGGGGAAAAGGAGCAAUCCGCUUUGAGAUGGCCUCGCGUCCGAUUAGCUAGUUGGUGAGGUAACGGCCCACCAAGGCGACGAUCGGUAGCCGGACGGGGAGGUUGAACGGCCACAUUGGGACUGAGACACGGCCCAGACUCCUACGGGAGGCAGCAGUGGGGAAUAUUGCACAAUGGGGGAAACCCUGAUGCAGCGACGCCGCGUGGAGGAAGAAGGUCUUCGGAUUGUAAACUCCUGUUGUUGGGGAAGAUAAUGACGGUACCCAACAAGGAAGUGACGGCUAACUACGUG